rnacentral:rRNA from 1 species
GACGAACGCUGGCGGCGUGCUUAACACAUGCAAGUUGGACGGCUGUGGAUGGAAGCUUGCUGAAGUGCACAGCAGUAGCGGACGGGUGAGUAAUGCAUGAGUACCUGCCCUGGGGAGGGGGACAACAGCUGGAAACGGCUGCUAAUACCCCGUAAGCCGGGAGGUGAAAGGGAGCGAGCCCGCCCUGGGAUGGGCCCAUGUCCUAUCAGCUGGUUGGUGAGGUAACGGCUCACCAAGGCGACGACGGGUAGCCGGACUGAGAGGUCGACCGGCCACACUGGAACUGAGAUACGGUCCAGACUCCUACGGGAGGCAGCAGUGGGGAAUAUUGGGCAAUGGGGGCAAUCCUGACCCAGCGACGCCGCGUGAGGGAAGAAGGCCUUCGGGUUGUAAACCUCUUUUGUAUGGGAAGAAGGACGUGGCGGUACCGUACGAAUAAGUCCCGGCUAACUACGUGCCAGCAGCCGCAGUAACAC